GCAACUGAUUAGUAUUACAUUAAGCAAUAUAUAAUGACUGUUUAAUUACUAUCAACUUGAUAUUUUGAUAAUAUAGUAUCAAAGUCAGUUCUAAACUCACCUAUUCCAAAAGGUCUUGAGCUCGAUUCCUAUAUAUAUAUCAUAGUUCAUCUGAUAUGCAACAUAAACAUGAGCGGAGGUGUAUACAAAUUUUGAAUCGUUUUCUACCAGAUCGGUAUUUCGUGCAUCAUUAACAACCCGAUAUGUUAG
rnacentral:lncRNA from 1 species